AACAGUUCCAGUGGCUUAGUGGUUAGAGCGUCCGCCUAGAUUGCUGGAGGUCGUGGGUUCGAUCUCCGGUCGAAGUUGUUU